GAUGAACGCUAGCUACAGGCUUAACACAUGCAAGUCGAGGGGAAACGACAUCGCAAGCUUGCUUUUGAUGGGCGUCGACCGGCGCACGGGUGAGUAACGCGUAUCCAACCUGCCCAUCACUUGGGAAUAACCUUGCGAAAGUAAGACUAAUACCCAAUGACAUCCCCCGAAGACAUCUGAAUGGGAUUAAAGAUUUAUCGGUGAUGGAUGGGGAUGCGUCUGAUUAGCUUGUUGGCGGGGUAACGGCCCACCAAGGCAACGAUCAGUAGGGGUUCUGAGAGGAAGGUCCCCCACAGUGGAACUGAGACACGGUCCAAACUCCUACGGGAGGCAGCAGUGAGGAAUAUUGGUCAAUGGGCGAGAGCCUGAACCAGCCAAGUAGCGUGCAGGAUGACGGCCCUAUGGGUUGUAAACUGCUUUUAGAAGGGAAUAAAGUGGGUCUCGUGAGACUUUUUGCAUGUACCUGAUGAAUAAGGACCGGCUAAUUCCGUG
rnacentral:rRNA from 1 species